GACUUAUAUGUGUCUGGGGCUUAAUUGGUGUUAAACCUAAGAACUUUAAUUACCUACAAUUAUCUGCAGGUGUAUCUGUAAAAUUAUUUUAUUUCUCCUGAUAUAAUAACAGGUUUAACCCUUAAAUUAAACUUUUUCUAGGCAUUGACAAAUGGGUAAAUCUCAUAUCUAAAAUUGCAACUCCCACUAACAACCCUUCCACCUUCUUUUCCAUCACAGCAGCUUGGAAGUUCACCUAUUAUACCAUUCAGACACUUCUGGCAAUCAGCAUUAGAAAGAUCUCUAGUGCACUGAACCAACCCAUAAAGCUUGUCAGAUUCUCCAAGCUUUGAAUCUCCUGAAACAUACAAUUUUG
rnacentral:misc_RNA from 1 species